UGGGCUGUAGCUCAGUGGUAAAGCGCUUGCUUUGCAUGCAUGAGGCCCUGCGUUCGAUCCUCAGCACUACAU
rnacentral:tRNA from 1 species